GACGAACGCUGGCGGCGUGCUUAACACAUGCAAGUCGAACGGAAAGGCCCUUCUUGGUACUCGAGUGGCGAACGGGUGCGUAACACGUGGGUGAUCUGCCCUGCACUUUGGGAUAAGCCUGGGAAACUGGGUCUAAUACCGAAUAGGACCACGCGCUUCAUGGUGUGGGGUGGAAAGCUUUUGCGGUGUGGGAUGGGCCCGCGGCCUAUCAGCUUGUUGGUGGGGUAAUGGCGUACCAAGGCGACGACGGGUAGCCGGCCUGAGAGGGUGACCGGCCACACUGGGACUGAGAUACGGCCCAGACUCCUACGGGAGGCAGCAGUGGGGAAUAUUGCACAAUGGGCGCAAGCCUGAUGCAGCGACGCCGCGUGAGGGAUGACGGCCUUCGGGUUGUAAACCUCUUUCAAUAGGGACGAAGCGCAAGUGACGGUACCUAUAGAAGAAGCACCGGCCAACUACGUG
rnacentral:rRNA from 1 species